rnacentral:rRNA from 1 species
ACGCUAGCUACAGGCUUAACACAUGCAAGUCGAGGGGCAGCAUGGUCUUAGCUUGCUAAGGCCGAUGGCGACCGGCGCACGGGUGAGUAACACGUAUCCAACCUGCCGUCUACUCUUGGACAGCCUUCUGAAAGGAAGAUUAAUACAAGAUGGCAUCAUGAGUCCACAUGUUCACAUGAUUAAAGGUAUUCCGGUAGACGAUGGGGAUGCGUUCCAUUAGAUAGUAGGCGGGGUAACGGCCCACCUAGUCUUCGAUGGAUAGGGGUUCUGAGAGGAAGGUCCCCCACAUUGGAACUGAGACACGGUCCAAACUCCUACGGGAGGCAGCAGUGAGGAAUAUUGGUCAAUGGGCGAGAGCCUGAACCAGCCAAGUAGCGUGAAGGAUGACUGCCCUAUGGGUUGUAAACUUCUUUUAUAAAGGAAUAAAGUCGGGUAUGCAUACCCGUUUGCAUGUACUUUAUGAAUAAGGAUCGGCUAACUCCGUGCCAGCAGCCGCGGUAAUACGGAGGAUCCGAGCGUUAUCCGGAUUUAUUGGGUUUAAAGGGAGCGUAGAUGGAUGUUUAAGUCAGUUGUGAAAGUUUGCGGCUCAACCGUAAAAUUGCAGUUGAUACUGGAUAUCUUGAGUGCAGUUGAGGCAGGCGGAAUUCGUGGUGUAGCGGUGAAAUGCUUAGAUAUCACGAAGAACUCCGAUUGCGAAGGCAGCCUGCUAAGCUGCAACUGACAUUGAGGCUCGAAAGUGUGGGUAUCAAACAGGAUUAGAUACCCUGGUAGUCCACACGGUAAACGAUGAAUACUCGCUGUUUGCGAUAUACUGCAAGCGGCCAAGCGAAAGCGUUAAGUAUUCCACCUGGGGAGUACGCCGGCAACGGUGAAACUCAAAGGAAUUGACGGGGGCCCGCACAAGCGGAGGAACAUGUGGUUUAAUUCGAUGAUACGCGAGGAACCUUACCCGGGCUUAAAUUGCAGAUGAAUUACGGUGAAAGCCGUAAGCCGCAAGGCAUCUGUGAAGGUGCUGCAUGGUUGUCGUCAGCUCGUGCCGUGAGGUGUCGGCUUAAGUGCCAUAACGAGCGCAACCCUUGUUGUCAGUUACUAACAGGUUCUGCUGAGGACUCUGACAAGACUGCCAUCGUAAGAUGUGAGGAAGGUGGGGAUGACGUCAAAUCAGCACGGCCCUUACGUCCGGGGCUACACACGUGUUACAAUGGGGGGUACAGAGGGCCGCUACCACGCGAGUGGAUGCCAAUCCCAAAAACCUCUCUCAGUUCGGACUGGAGUCUGCAACCCGACUCCACGAAGCUGGAUUCGCUAGUAAUCGCGCAUCAGCCACGGCGCGGUGAAUACGUUCCCGGGCCUUGUACACACCGCCCGUCAAGCCAUGGGAGCCGGGGGUACCUGAAGUGCGUAACCGCGAGGAGCGCCCUAGGGUAAAACUGGA